GGUUAGUUUAGUGGUUAGCACGUUCGCCUAACACCUCAAGGGUCGGGGGUUCGAUUCCUGCCGUGGCCC